AUUACCUACCUUACCAUUGAUCUAAGUAUAUCUUUGCUUUUCUAUGAGAGCAAAAGCUUUCCUUUGUUCUCCCAUAGUAGCCAUCUCCCCCAACCACCUAAACACCAGGCAAGACACACAGCCUUGUGCACAGCCUCUAGCUGUUUUUAAUAGGUGGAAAAGGCCAGGGAGAAAGAGAACUCAGCUCUUUGAUAAAGGGUCAUCCCUGGAGGAAAAUGCAAAGAGAGAAACUAUGGAGAAGGUGGACUGGGAACACCCAAACAACAAUGUAUAAAAGUGAAAUAGAGUUCACAUAAAUUGACAUGGAAUCCAACCAGUGCCAUGAUGUGGAGUUGGUAAAAAGAAAUAAGCUGCACUUCACUUUUAGAAUUUAUAACAGAAACAUGGAAGUCAUGGGUAAUGCUGCUGGUUAGACCUUCAACUAAGGAAGCCCAGGUGAAGGACCUUUAGAAUGAAGUGGCAGGUGGAGGGAUUUUAUGCAGUGCACAAAAUCACAGGGGACAACUUUGGUGAUGAUUUGAAUGCUUGAGAUGGGGAAAAUAUAUGGAAAGGCAAAAUUGAUACAGAAGAGGUAUACACAGGUCCCAUUACCAAUUAAAAACCAGGGAUAGAAUGGAAGAAAGCAGGAACCAAACAGAAAAUGUAGGAACUAAAAAAUCAGCUAGGGCAUAGGAGCGCUAGGUCUAGAAUGAGGCAAGAGAAACCUGAGGUGACAGAUAAAGGAGAUCUCACUCAGCACCUUCUUGUGUCCUGAGCACCUCAUUUGCAUCACCUUAGACCCUGCUGGGCCCUGAGGGAAAGACAUAAAAAUGUGAAGGAAAAGAAUAUGAACAAAGAAAGACACAGAAGGAAAUGAAUGCCAGUACAUAGAAAAACUGAGGGAGACACAAAAGAAACUAUGUAAAGAAUGAGUAAAGAACAAUGAAUACAGAACUGGUAGAGAGAUGACCGAAUAAAGAGAGAGAGCAGACAAAUCAAGAUAUUGUUUUAUUUGAGAGACAGUCAUAGGUAAAAAGACACAAGGGGCUGUUCAUAAUACCAUUGAGAAGUUAAGGUGUCCACAAUGAUCAAAAGGGCCCUGGAACAUUCUCAGAUAAAAAUAGGCCUCCUAUUGCUUCUUGGCCUUUUGACUAAGAUCAGGUGUAGUAUCUAUUUUUAUCAGUUUAGUAUCUGAUACAUCCUUUCUCUGAGGACAGUGUUUUGUGGGGUUGUAUGGUGUCACCCCAAAGAAUUCAAUUAAAAAGAUAAAUUUUUUUAAAUGACCUCUUUCCAGAUAUCUAAUUAUUUCCAUGACUUCAGUCACCAUUUAUGAUCUAUUGAUUUCCAAACACACAUCUCCAGCCCAGACCUGUCACCUAUGCUCAUUUGAUCAAGUGCCUGAAGCUCUUGAUGGGAAGAUCUAAUGACCAUCUCUACUGGAGGCUGUAUCAGUUAUCUACUGCUGAGUGGCAAACAGUUCCAAAAU